AUACGGAGGGGGCUAGCGUUGUUCGGAAUUACUGGGCGUAAAGGGCGCGUAGGCGGUGAAGUAAGUUAGACGUGAAAGCCCUAGGCUUAACCUAGGAGGUGCGUUUAAUACUAUUUUACUAGAGUACGAGAGAGGAAAGUGGAAUUCCUAGUGUAGAGGUGAAAUUCGUAGAUAUUAGGAAGAACACCGGUGGCGAAGGCGGCUUUCUGGCUCGUAACUGACGCUGAGGUGCGAAAGCGUGGGGAGCAAACAGGAUUAGAAACCCCGGUAGUCC
rnacentral:rRNA from 1 species